GGGCAAUCUGGCUGUGACAUGUCACCCCAUUGAUUGCCAGGCUGUCUAGAUGGUGUCCUCAGGUGCCUCUCUCCAGAAGCUGCAGUCAGUGAAAGAGAACUGCCUUUCACUAAUAGAGAAGGACCUAUCUUUGGCCAAGGUAUACAAGUAAUUACUCUCCCCUGCACCAAACAUGCUCUCAAGUAAAUAAAUAGAUGUUUAAAAAACAAAACAACAAAAACCUUCCUUAUGUAACUUCACUUUUCACAUACUUCCCAAUACAAUGGUAGUUUUUCCAG
rnacentral:snRNA from 1 species